rnacentral:rRNA from 1 species
UACGGAGGGUGCGAGCGUUGUCCGGAAUCACUGGGCGUAAAGGGUGCGUAGGCGGGUCUUUAAGUCAGGGGGGAAAUCCUGGAGCUCAACUCCAGAACUGCCUUUGAUACUGAAGAUCUUGAGUCCGGGAGAGGUGAGUGGAACUGCGAGUGUAGAGGUGAAAUUCGUAGAUAUUCGCAAGAACACCAGUGGCGAAGGCGGCUCACUGGCCCGGUACUGACGCUGAGGCACGAAAGCGUGGGGAGCAAACAGG